rnacentral:rRNA from 1 species
AGAGUUUGAUCCUGGCUCAGAUUGAACGCUGGCGGCGUGCUUAACACAUGCAAGUCGAGCGGUAACAGGUGUAGCAAUACAUGCUGACGAGCGGCGAACGGGUGAGUAAUGCUUCGGAAUCUACCCAAUGGCGGGGAAUAACUAGCCGAAAGGUUAGCUAAUACCGCAUAAGCCCUACGGGGGAAAGCAGGGGAUCGUAAGACCUUGCACCGAUGGAUGAGCCGAAGUCGGAUUAGCUAGUUGGUAGGGUAACGGCCUACCAAGGCGACGAUCCGUAGCUGGUCUGAGAGGACGACCAGCCACACUGGGACUGAGACACGGCCCAGACUCCUACGGGAGGCAGCAGUGGGGAAUAUUGGACAAUGGGGGAAACCCUGAUCCAGCGACGCCGCGUGUGUGAAGAAGGCCUGCGGGUUGUAAAGCACUUUUAGUGGGGAAGAAAUGUUCAGGGUUAAUACCCCUGGAUCUUGACGUAACCCAAAGAAAAAGCACCGGCUAACUCUGUGCCAGCAGCCGCGGUAAUACAGAGGGUGCAAGCGUUAAUCGGAAUUACUGGGCGUAAAGCGUGCGUAGACGGUUAUGUAAGUCGGGUGUGAAAGCCCUGGGCUCAACCUGGGAAUUGCAUUCGAGACUGGAUAGCUAGGGUACGGAAGAGGGAAGCGGAAUUUCAGGUGUAGCGGUGAAAUGCGUAGAUAUCUGAAGGAACACCAGUGGCGAAAGCGGCUUCCUGGUCCAGUACCGACGUUCAGGCACGAAAGCGUGGGGAGCAAACAGGAUUAGAUACCCUAGUAGUCC